GAGAGCAUCACCCACAGCCACACUCUCCCCUUAAGAAGUCCUGACUGCACAGCCCCUCACCAUGGACUGGAGCUGGAGAGCCCUCUUCCUGGUGGCAGUGGCUACAGGUGUCCACUCCCAGGUGCAGCUGGUGCAGUCUGGGGCUGAGGUGAGGAAGCCUGGGACCUCAGUGAAGGUCUCCUGCAAGGCUUCUGGGUACACUUUUGCUAGCUACUAUAUGAGCUGGGUGCGGCAGGCCCCAGGUCAAGGCCUUGAGUGGAUGGGGAGAAUUUACCCUAACAACGGUGGCACAAACUAUGCGCAGAAGUUCCAGGGCAGACUCACCAUAACUGCAGACAAGUCCACGAGCACAGCCUACAUGGAGCUGAGCAGCCUGAGAGCCGAGGACACGGCCGUGUAUUACUGUGCAAGAGACACAGUGUCCUGUCAGGAGUCAGCUGCACAAGUCAGCAUCAGGACUGGUGAAUCCCAGAGCAUGGCUACCAGACUCUCCCUGAAGCUGAUCUCCAAGAUCACCAAGGACAUGGUCAUAAAGUAG